UACGUAGGGAGCAAGCGUUGUCCGGAAUUAUUGGGCGUAAAGAGCUCGUAGGCGGUGUGUCGCGUCGGCCGUGAAAACCUGCAGCUUAACUGUGGGCUUGCGGUCGAUACGGGCAUCACUGGAGUUCGGCAGGGGAGACUGGAAUUCCUGGUGUAGCGGUGAAAUGCGCAGAUAUCAGGAGGAACACCGGUGGCGAAGGCGGGUCUCUGGGCCGAUACUGACGCUGAGGAGCGAAAGCGUGGGGAGCGAACAGG
rnacentral:rRNA from 1 species